UACGUAGGUGACUAGCGUUGUCCGGAUUUACUGGGCGUAAAGAGCGCGCAGGCGGCCAAGUAAGUCGAAUGUGAAAGCCCCCGGCUUAACUGGGGAGGGUCAUUCGAUACUGCUUGGCUCGAAGACAGGAGAGGGAAGCGGAAUUCCCGGUGUAGUGGUGAAAUGCGUAGAUAUCGGGAGGAACACCAGUGGCGAAGGCGGCUUUCUGGCCUGUUCUUGACGCUGAGGCGCGAAAGCUAGGGGAGCAAACGGG
rnacentral:rRNA from 1 species